AGAGGAGCAUGGGAGAAACCCUAAGCCAGGACCUUUCACUACAAUGGAAAUGCAAGUGGGAACGAGGGUCUUGUGUUUCUUCCACACUACCAGGAAGCAAUAAAUCUUCCUUGGUGUCUAUUGUUUUUUAAAGCAGCAUAUUCAAGACGCCAGCAAAUCCCCUAAUAUCUGCACAAGCCAAGAGGGCCAGCUUACUGAAAUGCUUUCUUAUUGCUGAAAGACUCUAAACUUCAGGGUGCCUUGUUCCCUUGUAAAAGGGAAAAUAAUUCUGACUUAUUAUAAUCACAGCGCACCACACUUUAAAAAAAUACUAAAGCGUGCGAGCAGGGUAACCGUCUGACACCAUUUUACUAAUCUUCAACUUCAGUGGAAAAAUAGAGCCUCUUUCCUGGUGCCAUUUUCAUCACAACAGUU
rnacentral:lncRNA from 1 species